UACGUAGGGUGCAAGCGUUGUCCGGAAUUAUUGGGCGUAAAGAGCUCGUAGGCGGUUUGUCGUGUCUGCUGUGAAAUCCCGAGGCUCAACCUCGGGCCUGCAGUGGGUACGGGCAGACUAGAGUGCGGUAGGGGAGAUUGGAAUUCCUGGUGUAGCGGUGGAAUGCGCAGAUAUCAGGAGGAACACCGAUGGCGAAGGCAGAUCUCUGGGCCGUAACUGACGCUGAGGAGCGAAAGCGUGGGGAGCGAACAGG
rnacentral:rRNA from 1 species